GGGGAUUUAGCUCAGUGGUUGAGUGCUUGCCUAGCAAGCACAAGGCCCUGGGUUCGGUCCCCAGCUCCA
rnacentral:tRNA from 1 species